GGAAUAAUAGCUGAGUGGCAGAGUGCCUGGUUGGCAAGCAGAAGGCUCUGAGUUCCAACCUCAGUAGUGUCU
rnacentral:tRNA from 1 species